rnacentral:rRNA from 1 species
AGAUUGAACGCUGGCGGCAGGCCUAACACAUGCAAGUCGAGCGGUAGAGAGGUGCUUGCAUCUCUUGAGAGCGGCGGACGGGUGAGUAAUGCCUAGGAAUCUGCCUAGUGGUGGGGGAUAACGUUCGGAAACGGCGCUAAUACCGCAUACGUCCGUACGGGAGAAAGCGGGGGACCUUCGGGCCUCGCGCCAUUAGAUGAGCCUAGGUCGGAUUAGCUAGGUUGGUGAGGUAAUGGCUCACCGAAGGCGACGGAUCCGUAACUGGUCUGAGAGGAUGAUCAGUCACACUGGAACUGAGGACACGGUCCAGACUCCGUACGGGAGCAGCAGGUGGGAAUAUUGGACAAGUGGGACGAAAGCCUGAUCCGAGCAGUCGCCGCGGUGUGUAGAAGUAGGUCUCGGAUU